UACGUAGGUGGCGAGCGUUAUCCGGAAUUAUUGGGCGUAAAGCGCGCGCAGGCGGUUCCUUAAGUCUGAUGUGAAAGCCCACGGCUCAACCGUGGAGGGUCAUUGGAAACUGGGGAACUUGAGUGCAGAAGAGAAGAGCGGAAUUCCACGUGUAGCGGUGAAAUGCGUAGAGAUGUGGAGGAACACCAGUGGCGAAGGCGGCUCUUUGGUCUGUAACUGACGCUGAGGCGCGACAGCGUGGGGAGCAAACAGG
rnacentral:rRNA from 1 species